rnacentral:rRNA from 1 species
AGUGGCGAACGGGUGAGUAAAGUAUCGGAACGUGCCCAGUCGUGGGGGAUAACGUAGCGAAAGUUACGCUAAUACCGCAUACGAUCUAUGGAUGAAAGCGGGGGAUCGCAAGACCUCGCGCGAUUGGAGCGGCCGAUAUCAGAUUAGGUAGUUGGUGGGGUAAAGGCUCACCAAGCCGACGAUCUGCAGCUGGUCUGAGAGGACGACCAGCCACACUGGGACUGAGACACGGCCCAGACUCCUACGGGAGGCAGCAGUGGGGAAUUUUGGACAAUGGGCGCAAGCCUGAUCCAGCCACGCCGCGUGCAGGAUGAAGGCCUUCGGGUUGUAAACUGCUUUUGUACGGAACGAAAAGGUUUGGCCUAAUAAGCUGAGCUCAUGACGGUACCGUAAGAAUAAGCACCGGCUAACUACGUGCCAGCAGCCGCGGUAAUACGUAGGGUGCGAGCGUUAAUCGGAAUUACUGGGCGUAAAGCGUGCGCAGGCGGUUAUGUAAGACAGAUGUGAAAUCCCCGGGCUCAACCUGGGAACUGCAUUAGUGACUGCAUAGCUGGAGUACGGCAGAGGGGGGAUGGAAUUCCGCGUGUAGCAGUGAAAUGCAUAGAUAUGCGGAGGAACACCGGAUGGCGAAGGCAAUCCCCUGGGCCUGUACUGACGCUCAUGCACGAAAGCGUGG